rnacentral:rRNA from 1 species
CGUAGGGUGCGAGCGUUGUCCGGAAUUAUUGGGCGUAAAGAGCUUGUAGGCGGUUUGUCGCGUCUGCCGUGAAAAUCCGGGGCUCAACCCCGGACUUGCGGUGGGUACGGGCAGACUAGAGUGUGGUAGGGGAGACUGGAAUUCCUGGUGUAGCGGUGAAAUGCGCAGAUAUCAGGAGGAACACCGAUGGCGAAGGCAGGUCUCUGGGCCACUACUGACGCUGAGAAGCGAAAGCGUGGGGAGCGAACAGGAUUAGAUACCCUGGUAGUCCACGCCGUAAACGCUGGGAACUAGGUGUGGGUCUCAUUCCACGAGAUCUGUGCCGCAGCUAACGCAUUAAGUUCCCCGCCUGGGGAGUACGGCCGCAAGGCUA